UCAACAGCUCACCUUUCUUGUUUUUUCUUGAGAUCCUGAUCUUCAACAUGUUAUAUGUGUUCUUGCAACUCUCUCGACUAAGGACUUGAGGCCACCAUGCCCAGCUGGGUUCUUUGUCUGCAAAACACCAACAGUCCAGGAGAACACCAAGAAGAAGAAAAGACCUGGGAUGAACCACAGUAAGACAUGAAAGGAGAAACUGGUGAGGAGCUGCAUCUUGGUACAGAGAAGCAACCCCAGUUUGCCAGGUCUUGUUCCAUGAUCAGAUGGGUUCUCCCCUAAUAACUACAAGAUGGCUGCCACAGCUCCAGUAUCACAUCUUACCAUGUAAACCAAUGGAAAAGAGGUUUUCCCCAGCAGUCCUUGUAUAAGUGUCAUUGUGUCUCAUUGGUUCUGAUUGUGUCACAUGUUCACAUCUGACCCAACCACAGCAACAAGUGAACUACAAGUGAAUUAUACCUGGCUAAUUGGCUGAGGUCUUGACCACAAGCUCUAACUUUAGAAAUAGGGAUGACACUCUGGUUAGACUCUGGGGUCAAAGAGUAGGGGUGGGUGA